CCCUGAGUGCGAUUGGAGCCGGCCAAAACUACGUUGAGGCGACGCUCAAACGCGUCCGUAUGUCGAUUAGGGUCAAGCACCUCUGCUAGCGGUGUCCACGGGGCGAAAACAGAUCGCCAUCUUCCAUGAAUCAAUUGAGCUCGACGUUUGGACUGACUCUUCUUGGGUCACAUACUCGCUCAAGCAUCGCCGCCGCUCCCGCUCCUUCAUGGAUGCGUUGGUCGGCCAUCUAACUCCUGGAUUCUGCCAUUGAUCUGGACUCCUGGGCCACCAUCAGCACCUGCCUCCGCCAAGGCCAUGCCUGCACCAAGAACAGUGCGUUCAUGGGAGUCUGCGGUGAAUUCUGCUUAUUCCCAUUAAGUAGCUGCCAAGAUUGCUACAUUUAACGGAGGAAUUCACUGCCUAGAUUGAGUUUGCCACACUUCCUUUCAGAUUAUGCACUUGAAGAAGGUCCCCUUUCCAGCCUCAGAUUGAUGUGAUUGUUUUCAUUGAAAAGAUAAACACGAUCCUGCUCCUUCUGCAUCGGCGUCCUUGGAUGUGGCACGAGCUCCUUGGUUGUUGCAAUGAUGAGGAACCCCAAUCUUAUGAGACAAUCUCCCUAUUCGCUAGACUCGGUUUACGUCUUGAUUGACAUGGAAAUAUUUUGAAAGUGAUGAAUCUGUCUACCCAAUUUUGUACGUAUAGUUAUGUGGAACUAAAAAUUAUCGUCGGACUAUCUUCGACUGUUCGACAACAAUAUGGACUACAGGAGGGUGCAAGACCGAGCAGGUUCCAUCUAUUGUGGUAGGACCUUUUUUAGCAGAAAAAAUCAGAGCAGAUAUAUAAGCAUCCACUCAGCUCCCGUAUGAUGUAGCCUUGCAGGUGAUAUCCCGAGUUGUGCACGUCCACAAGUGCCUCCACACAUUAUAGCCUAGAUGUCCGAACACCGUGCUGACCUCCCAACUCACAGCGGCCAUGGCAAUGCUUUUGCCCAGUGUGCGUGUGUGAAGCAUGAGAGAGCUCAGUACGGCACAUGUAAAUCAUGGUCGCUGGUGAGCCAGAUAGCAUGGGACCAUCGGUGUCUCUGAUGUAGCUAGCUCAUAAGCAUUUUAGCCUGAAUUAUGCCCUAUUGUGGCACUAAUUUACAAAAAUAUAUGCAAAGAUUUAACUCAUUAGUUGCUACAUUUAUAUGAAGCUUCUAACAGCAAUUUCAGUUUUUGUUAUAUGUAAUCAAAGAUGUUAAUUGAUUCUAUGUUUGUAGGACCGUAGACAAUCAAAAUGAUGUGCCAUUUUGCUGGAAAACAAGAAAACAAAUAUAUUUUGAUCUUCUCAAAUAAUAUUAUCAGUUAAUCAACUGUCAAAUUUAAUAUAAUCCAUUGUGUACUACAAGUAAUGUUUAAUUUGGACAUAGCUAGCUACCUAGAUUCAACCGCUUGAUAUAAUCCAUUGUGCUGUCUUCCAGUGAACACAUGAGCUUCAUAUUCAGACUUUGAAAUAUUUUAUCGCUGGUAAGUUUUGUUAAAUGAUAUUGAUUAUAGCUUUUAUUGUUGUUGCAAGGUUUUUUCCUUGUUAGCAUGCUUUCUUUUUUAAGUAAUACAGCCAUGAUAGAAAUGGCAGAAGAGGGGUUUCAGCUUGAUGCUUAGCUUUUAUGAGUUCAUGACAACAAGAUGCAUGACUCUGUCCUUCGUAUCAUAAUUGCAAUAUGUAGGAACCAAAGUGGCUCUUUUGACUUCGGAUGAGAGUUUUGAUGACUUGAGCCUUUACGAGAACUUAUGACAUAAAUGACCAGGUCCUUUCAACAAAUUAUUAUAUCUUGGGCAUCUUACAAGUACCAAGCAAUCCAUAUCUCUCAUGAUCUUCGUUUAAUAGGGUGCCUUUUCCAUCUUUUAUGUGUUUUUUAUGCAAAUCUAUUAUAUGUUUAUUACUGAAGUGUGUAUGAAGUUGAGAACAUAAUUGUUGUUUGACUUUUUUAAUCAACCAUACAAAUUAGCAUCUCUCAUCUAAUUAGAGAAUAUACAAUGCUUCAUCCUUGAAAUUUCAGGAUGGAGCUGUUUGGGGACGCACUUUUAGUAGCUCAAGGAGUUGCAAACCCAUCAGCUCAAUCUCUGACUAUCGCAACUCCUCAUCUAACUAGAGAAUAUAAUGGUCAUCCUUGCAGUUUCAGGAUAGAGCUGUUUGGGGAUGCAGUCUUAGUUUUCUCUUACACUGGAAAAUGACCUUAGUCCUCGACUAACAAAAAAAAGAUUCGACGUUUCUGCUGAUGCAAAUAAUUUCCUCCAAGUUGCAUAAUAUAUCUGUUUGGACUGAUGUUACAAAUUUAUUUUCUAUGAGCAAGGAUUAGCUGGCUUAUUAUCCUUGAGACUGCUUUUACAAGAGCAUAAAAUACAAGGUGCCAUCAAAUUGACAAGGACCAUUUGGUUAACCCAAUCCAGUUAUAAGUGAUCCUUUCCCAUUUUCCACACUAUUUAGUUUGUGUUUACUUUAUCCAUUCUGAAAUCUAGCUGACAGCAAACUUAUCUUUUGCCUAUGCACUAAUCGAUAUGCAGAUUUAUUCUGUUACGUGGUGUUGGUAAAUUAGUAUCAUCGUCAGUUACAAAACUCUCUUUUGAUCAAAGUUGCAGUUUAUUGCUGAAUUGUAUACUCUUUUUUCUAAAAUAUUUUUACUUUGUAGGUAAGGUGUACAAUGCCUUUUGAGUAAGUAACGGACUUGACAAGGCAGUCAAGAAAAAGAAAAGGCUGUGGAGCUCUAGACAAAUUUGUGAAAGAGUGAACAAGCUAGCCAUGUGUGCCAUUAGUCCAAGGACCUUAAAUCUGCCCUCAAAGCAAUCGAGGAGGUACUGCUCCUUGACCAAACAACAAAUUUGCUUCAACACGACCUAGAG